CAGCAGGGCGAUCUCACCUGGACACACAGACAUCACAUCUUUUACACGGAAGCAGUCUUCGGCAGCACGGAGGCAUCCGGAGCGACGGCCAGCGAUACACUGCAUGGCUCAGAAAUACACAGGACAAUCUCCAACCGUCGUGGGUCACAUGUUUAAUUAACUGCAGUGUUUAUUACACAAUAUUACCAUUUCUGAUGCUCACUGGAAAAAAAUAAAGAACUCAGUGAAAGCCGUGACUGACCGAAGUAGUCUGAGGGUCCUAGCCGGCCGACCUCGACGAACUCCUCGUUCUCUGACCUGCGCUGCAGAACCGCCGCACAGCCCUGAGGAGACAGACGAGCUCAG